UUUGGAAGUUCCCUUGGGGU
rnacentral:snRNA from 1 species